rnacentral:rRNA from 1 species
UACGUAGGGGGCAAGCGUUGUCCGGAAUCAUUGGGCGUAAAGCGCGUGUAGGCGGUUCGGUAAGUCCGCUGUGAAAGUCGGGGGCUCAACCCUCGAAUGCCGGUGGAUACUGUCGGGCUAGAGUGCGGAAGAGGCGAGUGGAAUUCCUGGUGUAGCGGUGAAAUGCGCAGAUAUCAGGAGGAACACCUAUUGCGAAGGCAGCUCGCUGGGACGUAACUGACGCUGAGACGCGAAAGCGUGGGGAGCAAACAGG